GACGAACGCUGGCGGCGUGCUUAACACAUGCAAGUCGAACGCUGAAGCUCAGCUUGCUGGCUGGUUGAGUUGCGAACGGGUGAGUGACACGUGAGUAACCUGCCAUCUUCUUUGGGAUAACGCCCGACAACGGGUGCUAUUACUGGAUAUUCACUGCUUCUCGCGUGGGGGUUGGUGGAAAGGUUUUUUCUGGUGGGGGAUGGUCUCGCGGCCUAUCAGCUGGUUGGUGGGGUGAUGGCCUACCAAGGCUGUGACGGGUAGCCGGGCUGGGAGGGUGACCGGGCACAUGGGGAAUGGGCUACGGUCCAGACGGAUGCGGGAGGCAGCAGUGGGGAAUAAUGGGCGAUGGGCGAAAGCAGGAUGCAGCGACGCGGCGUGAGGGAUGGAGGCCUGCGGAGUGUAAUCGUCGUGCGCGCAUGGUAAAGCCGUAGCGUUGGGUUGUGGUGAGGGUAGUGAGUAAAGAAGCGCCGGCUAACUACGUG
rnacentral:rRNA from 1 species